rnacentral:rRNA from 1 species
AACGACUCUCGGCAACGGAUAUCUCGGCUCACGCAUCGAUGAAGAACGUAGCAAAAUGCGAUACUUGGUGUGAAUUGCAGAAUCCCGUGAACCAUCGAGUUUUUGAACGCAAGUUGCGCCCGAAGCCAUUCGGCUGAGGGCACGUUUGCCUGGGCGUCACGCAU